GAUGAACGCUGACAGAAUGCUUAACACAUGCAAGUCAACUUGAAUUUGGGUUUUUUCACUUAGAUUUGGGUGGCGGACGGGUGAGUAACGCGUAAAGAACUUGCCUCACAGCUAGGGACAACAUUUGGAAACGAAUGCUAAUACCUGAUAUUAUGAUUAUAAGGCAUCUUAGAAUUAUGAAAGCUAUAUGCGCUGUGAGAGAGCUUUGCGUCCCAUUAGCUAGUUGGAGAGGUAACGGCUCACCAAGGCGAUGAUGGGUAGCCGGCCUGAGAGGGUGAACGGCCACAAGGGGACUGAGACACGGCCCUUACUCCUACGGGAGGCAGCAGUGGGGAAUAUUGGACAAUGGACCAAGAGUCUGAUCCAGCAAUCCUGUGUGCACGAUGACGUUUUUCGGAAUGUAAAGUGCUUUCAGUUGGGAAGAAAAAAAUGACGGUACCAACAGAAGAAGUGACGGCUAAAUACGUG
rnacentral:rRNA from 1 species